CCGGGGAAAGACGAGGAACCACAAUCGCACCUCUGUGUCCAUUCCAGCUGUAGAGCGCUGAGAGAAUCACCCCUGAGCCAUGCGUCCUCUCGUGGUUUCUGCCAUCUUACUUCUGGUGUCUCUGAUGCACAUGGCGGAGGCUAAUGAGGCUACAAUUGCUAGAAUCUGUAAGGAGCGGUAUCCCCAGAAAGAAUGUCCGGGGAGUAAGGAAUGGUUCCAGCUGGAUGACAAGCGAUGCAUGAAGGUCACCACACAACGUAUGACCUUUCCAAAUGCAGAGAGACACUGUAAGUCACAAGGUGGGCACCUGG